rfam:Triticum aestivum genome assembly, contig: Triticum_aestivum_CS42_TGACv1_scaffold_131029_2BL
UAAGUACUUCCUCCGUUUCAAAUUAUUCGUCGCUGAAAUGAAUGUAUCUAGAACUAAAAUACAUCUAGAUAUAUUCAUAUGUGUGACAAAUAAUUCGGAACGGAGGGAGUACUUA